UGCAGUCGAGCGAUGGAUUAGAGCUUGCUCUUAUGAAGUUAGCGGCGGACGGGUGAGUAACACGUGGGUAACCUGCCCAUAAGACUGGGAUAACUCCGGGAAACCGGGGCUAAUACCGGAUAACAUUUUGAACCGCAUGGUUCGAAAUUGAAAGGCGGCUUCGGCUGUCACUUAUGGAUGGACCCGCGUCGCAUUAGCUAGUUGGUGAGGUAACGGCUCACCAAGGCAACGAUGCGUAGCCGACCUGAGAGGGUGAUCGGCCACACUGGGACUGAGACACGGCCCAGACUCCUACGGGAGGCAGCAGUAGGGAAUCUUCCGCAAUGGACGAAAGUCUGACGGAGCAACGCCGCGUGAGUGAUGAAGGCUUUCGGGUCGUAAAACUCUGUUGUUAGGGAAGAACAAGUGCUAGUUGAAUAAGCUGGUCACCUUGACGGUACCUAACCAGAAAGCCACGGCUAACUACGUGGCCAGCAGCCGCGGUAAUACGUAGGUGGCAAGCGUUAUCCGGAACUUAUUGGGCCGUAAAGCGCGCGCAGGGUGGUUUCUUAAAGUCUGAUGUGAAAGCCCACGGCUCAACCCGUGGAGGGUCAUUGGAAACUGGGAGACUUGAGUGCAGAAGAGGAAAGUGGAAUUCCAUGUGUAGCGGUGAAAUGCGUAGAGAUAUGGAGGAACACCAGUGGCGAAGGCGACUUUCUGGUCUGUAACUGACACUGAGGCGCGAAAGCGUGGGGAGCAAACAGGAUUAGAUACCGUGGUAGUCCACGCCGUAAACGAUGAGUGCUAAGUGUUAGAGGGUUUCCGCCCUUUAGUGCUGAAGUUAACGCAUUAAGCACUCCGCCUGGGGAGUACGGCCGCAAGGCUGAAACUCAAAGGAAUUGACGGGKGCCCGCCACAAGCGGUGKAGCAUGUGGUUUAAUUCGAAGCAACGCGAAGAACCUUACCAGGUCUUGACAUCCUCUGACAACCCUAGAGAUAGGGCUUCUCCUUCGGGAGCAGAGUGACAGGUGGUGCAUGGUUGUCGUCAGCUCGUGUCGUGAGAUGUUGGGUUAAGUCCCGCAACGAGCGCAACCCUUGAUCUUAGUUGCCAUCAUUAAGUUGGGCACUCUAAGGUGACUGCCGGUGACAAACCGGAGGAAGGUGGGGAUGACGUCAAAUCAUCAUGCCCCUUAUGACCUGGGCUACACACGUGCUACAAUGGACGGUACAAAGAGCUGCAAGACCGCGAGGUGGAGCUAAUCUCAUAAAACCGUUCUCAGUUCGGAUUGUAGGCUGCAACUCGCCUACAUGAAGCUGGAAUCGCUAGUAAUCGC
rnacentral:rRNA from 1 species